AUGAAAUUACACAGAACAAUGGUAAUUAUACAGAUGAUGAGAGCAAAUGGAAAAUAUUGGACUAUUGACAAUUUUCGUGAGUUGAGUCCGGAGUUUAAAAGUAUUAUGGGAAUAGACAGUGAAGAAGUACAAGUGAUACGUUGGAUAUACCCUAUUGUUGGACUCCCACAAGCACCACCUCCUAAAUCUCCUCAAGUUGUCAUAAAAUGUCAGACCAGAAAACAGGUAGAAGAGACCGUGGAAAUCAUACUGACUGCUGGUUUUUUCGGACAUAGUCCUACUCCGGAAAUGAAAGAAUUUUUAGUAAUUCCAAAAAGAAAUUCAUUUAAUUUUGGUGAGGAUAUGAAUGAGAUUCCUAAGAUACGUCAGUUUCAGUAUGAAAUUGAAUAUGAAUCUGAAGCUAUGAAGUAUAAGUUGGAACCCUGUAUAGCUUUACAUUUGAUUAAAAAAUCUUAUGAUAUUAUGGCUGAAAGUAUAAUAUUGAUCUUCAAUCUGAUAUUCUCACCAAAUAUGCCAUUAAGGACUGAAAUAACACUGAAAAUAGAGUGCAUAACAGAUGGGAUCUGGAAGUUUCCCAUAAGGGUGAUCGCUACUGAACCUGAUGUGGAUGCUGUCAUUGAUAUUGAAGGAGUUGGUUUAUUUAAGGAAUCUGUUUCUGACUUUAGGCUGACAAGUCAGACAAGAUAUCCUGAGCCAUUCACUGCAUACUUCUUACCUGGCAGUGAUCCGGAGUUUUUUGUAAGACCAGAGGUUGGAAAACUUCUUCCUUUUGACACAAACGGAACUCCAAUCAUUGUAGGAUUUAAACCUAAAAUGUACUGUAGGAAAUAUAAAGCAACAUUAGUAAUACAGACAGAAAAAAUGUUCCGGAUGUAUAAGAUCAAUGGAUUACCUCCAACUACCAUGCCACCGAUCAAUGCAAAAGCCAAAAUUGAUGCUACUAACAAGACAUUUGACAACAGGCCAGUUCAGCUGCGUAACUUUGUCCGUGAAAAUACUAAGCUCAUAAGAAAAAGUAUGUCUUCCUCCACCAAGGGUGCUUCUAUGAUGAGGAAGUAUAAAUAAAAUUUUUUUCCAAAAUAUUUCUUUGUCUCAUGUAGAAUUUUGAUGACUAUUAUUUCAUCUUUUGGAAUAUUUCUGAGGAAUAAUGGUUUAAUUUAAUAGGCCUUCUAUAUUUCAUUGUCCUUUAAAAUGCAAUCUAUUCUCUGAAUUUAACAUACUUCAUUUCUGAGUUAUGAGUGUUUCUUGAAAGUGGACUUUGGUUGCAAAUAUUGGAAUUGGUUCACUUUUAACAUGCAGGUGUGUAUUUGUGGUAAAAUGAAAUAUAAUUUAAAUAACAAUAUUUCUAAUAACAGUAUUGCUAAUAAAGCUAAAUUUCUCAUGUAAAUAUUGCUUGUUGGUCUUUAUGUUUUAAUUGACAACUAAAAAUUGUAUACAUUUAUGGUAUACAACAUAUUUUGAAAUCGACAUACAUUGUAGCAUGGUUAGCCUGAGCUAAUUAAUACAUGUAUUACCUUACAUACUUAAUUUUUGUUUUAAGAACACUUAAAAUAUACUUAGCCACUUUCAGAUAUAUAAUACAUUGUUAGUAACUAUUGCCAUCAUGUUGUACAGCAGAUCUCUUGAACUUAUUCUUCCUAUCUAACUGAAAAUUUGUAUACUUUAACCAACAUCUCCCAAUCAUCCUGACUUACCCCACCGAGCCCCUGGUAAUCAGCAUUCUACUCUUGUAUGAGUUCGCUAUUUUUAGAUUUCAGAUAUAAAUGAGAUCAUGCAGUAUUUGUUUUUCUGUGUCUGGCUUGUUUUACUUAAUGUCAUAUCUUCCAGGUUCAUCCAUGUUGUCACAAAUGGCAGGAUUUCCUUCUUUUUCAAGGCUGAACGGUAUCUCAUUGUGUAUAUAUUUCAAAUACUAGUGUUGUUAUUAAAGCUCAAUUUCCCCUGUGUAUGUUGCUUGUGAGUCUUCAAAAUGAUUAAAUUAGCACUCAAGGCAGAAAGAUUGACCAUUUCUUAUAUCUGCUUUUAAAAAUAUAUGUUUAUAUCUUAUAUCUUCUAUUUGGAAUAUUAUGUGCUAUUUAGAAAGUAAUUAAAAAUUCCAUGUAUAUAUGUGUAUGUAGUUCAUCUGCUUUUAUUUUGCAGCAUUGAAAUAAUAUAAAUAUAUAUCAAAAUGAUCCAGGAGGAAGUUCAUUUUGAUGUGUGUCUGAUCCUUUUCAAUAAUGUAUUAAUCGAAGUAAAAGGGAGUAUGUUGUUUGGUACUUGUCAUUAAAGGUAAGCCAGUGUGGACCAGCUUUAAGAUAUUUUGACACAAACUGACUGGCUUUACUACAAAACAUUCAUGUAUUCUUAAGCAGGUUGCUUACCCUAUUUUGUUGUUUCCAAAAUGAAGCGACUGUACUAGGACAGAGGUUGGCAUACUAUGGCCCAUGAGACGACUGUAGACUGUCCCCUAUUUUUAUAUAGCUAGGAACAGUUUUUACACCGUUAAAUGGUUGAAAAAAUAAAUAGAAGAAUACUGUGUGAUAUAAAAACAUAAUAUAACGUUCAAAUUUCACUGCCUAUAAAUAAGGAUUUACUAGAAUACAGCACGAUCACUU
ensembl:lincRNA